ACCUCAUCGAAAAAGCAGUUAGUAUUGCGGAGAGAACCGCUGACCAGAGCGCCCGCAUUGAUGGAGAUGAAGUAAAUCUUGAAGAAGAAUCGGAACUACAAUUACCAUUCUUACUUCCUGACGAUAGUUAUUUCGUCGAGAAUACUUGCGGCGUGCCACCAGGAUUGAAGGAGUUAGGAGUUCCUUUCUCCUCUAAUUGCCCCAGGUUUAUGCAAACUUACAAUCCAACCAAAGGCAUCCGGAUACUGGACAGUUCAUUUUGAGGCUGUUGAAGUAACCGAGGGUCCUCCUUUAGAGACUAUUAAAAUUACUUUAAAUAAAGGAAACAAGGGAAUGGGCGUCAGCAUCGUAGCUGCUAAGGGCGGCGGUCAGGGAAAAUCUGGUAUAAACGUUAAAGAGGUUAUUGCCAAUGGACCAGCUGCUGUGGAUGGCCGUGUGAGUCCCGGUGACCAAAUCAUUGAGGUUGACGGCGAGUCCUUGGUUGGGAUAGAACAAGAGGAUGCUGUGAAGAUUUUAAUAAAAUGUGGCUCCAUCGUGAAUUG